AACGAACGCUGGCGGCAUGCCUAACACAUGCAAGUCGAAGGAUACCUUCUGGUCUGGUGGCGCCCGAUGGCGUAACGCGUGGGAACCUUCCCUUAGGUUCGGAAUAACUCCCCGACAGGGGUGCUAAUCCCGGAUAAUGUCUUCCGACCAAAGAUUUAUCGCCUUUGGAUGUGCCCGCGUUGGAUUAGCUAGUUGUUACUGUAAAAGCCUACCAAGGCGACGAUCCAUAGCUGGUCUGAGAGGAUGAUCCGACCCACUGGGACUGAGACACGGCCCAGACUCCUACGGGAGGCAGCAGUGGGGAAUAGUAGACACUGGGCGAAAGCAUGAUCCAGCAAUGCCGCGUGAGUGAUGAAGGUCUUAGGGUGGUAAAGCUCUUUUACCCGGGAUGAUAAUGACAGUACCGGGAGAAUAAGCUCCGGCUAACUCCGUG
rnacentral:rRNA from 1 species